GAUGAACGCUGGCGGCGUGCCUAAUACAUGCAAGUCGAGCGAACAGACGAGGAGCUUGCUCCUCUGACGUUAGCGGCGGACGGGUGAGUAACACGUGGAUAACCUACCUAUAAGACUGGGAUAACUUCGGGAAACCGGAGCUAAUACCGGAUAAUAUAUUGAACCGCAUGGUUCAAUAGUGAAAGACGGUUUUGCUGUCACUUAUAGAUGGAUCCGCGCCGCAUUAGCUAGUUGGUAAGGUAACGGCUUACCAAGGCAACGAUGCGUAGCCGACCUGAGAGGGUGAUCGGCCACACUGGAACUGAGACACGGUCCAGGCUCCUAAGGGAGGCAGCAGUAGGGAAUCUUCCGCAAUGGGCGAAAGCCUGACGGAGCAACGCCGCGUGAGUGAUGAAGGUCUUCGGAUCGUAAAACUCUGUUAUUAGGGAAGAACAAAUGUGUAAGUAACUAUGCACGUCUUGACGGUACCUAAUCAGAAAGCCACGGCUAACUACGUG
rnacentral:rRNA from 1 species